GUCUCAAGGUCAAGACAUAGCCUCUGGUGAAUGGAUUGAGAAUAGGAUGGCAAAAGGAAGAGAACACUCUGUGUAGAACGCCCUUCCCAGCCUGCACGUACAUCAGCGGCGCCCUUGAGGGCGAGCCUCUCUCUCUUCAACCUCAAGGAGGCCUUUGCUGAGAAGCAGCUCAGGACAUGGAAAGAAUAAUACAUGGUUCUGCAUUUCAGUUGUAUACUAAAUUAACUUUUGCACAUUCCUGAAAAAAUGAGAUC
rnacentral:lncRNA from 1 species